rnacentral:rRNA from 1 species
UGGCUCAGGAUGAACGCUAGCGGCAGGCUUAACACAUGCAAGUCGAGGGGUAUUAGUUUUCGGACUAAGAGACCGGCGCACGGGUGCGUAACGCGUAUGCAAUCUACCUUUUACAGAGGGAUAGCCCAGAGAAAUUUGGAUUAAUACCUCAUAGUAUAAUGACUCGGCAUCGUGAUAUUAUUAAAGUCACAACGGUAAAAGAUGAGCAUGCGUCCCAUUAGCUAGUUGGUAAGGUAACGGCUUACCAAGGCUACGAUGGGUAGGGGUCCUGAGAGGGAGAUCCCCCACACUGGUACUGAGACACGGACCAGACUCCUACGGGAGGCAGCAGUGAGGAAUAUUGGACAAUGGGCGCAAGCCUGAUCCAGCCAUGCCGCGUGCAGGAUGACGGUCCUAUGGAUUGUAAACUGCUUUUAUACGAGAAGAAACACUGCUUCGUGAAGCAGCUUGACGGUAUCGUAAGAAUAAGGAUCGG